GCUGGCGGCACGCCUAACACAUGCAAGUCGAACGAAGUAGCAAUACUUAGUGGCAGACGGGUGAGUAACAUGUAGGUAUCUACCCUUUGGCCUGGAAUAACACGAGGAAACUUGUGCUAAUACCGGAUAAGUCUUUACGGAGAAAGCUUUAUGCACCAUUGGAUGAGCCUGCACUUGAUUAGUUUGUUGGUGGGGUAAUGGCCUACCAAGACUGUGAUCAAUAGCUGAUUUGAGAGGAUGAUCAGCCACAUUGGGACUGAGACACGGCCCAAACUCCUACGGGAGGCAGCAGUGGGGAAUCUUGCACAAUGGAGGAAACUCUGAUGCAGCGAUGCCGCAUGAGUGAAGAAGGCCUUUGGGUUGUAAAGCUCUUUCGUCGGGGAAGAAAAUGACUGUACCCGAAUAAGAAGGUCCGGCUAACUUCGUGCCAGCAGCCGCGGUAAUACGAAGGGACCUAGCGUAGUUCGGAAUUACUGGGCUUAAAGAGUUCGUAGGUGGUUGAAAAAGUUAGUGGUGAAAUCCCAGAGCUUAACUCUGGAACUGCCAUUAAAACUUUUCAGCUAGAGUAUGAUAGAGGAAAGCAGAAUUUCUAGUGUAGAGGUGAAAUUCGUAGAUAUUAGAAAGAAUACCAAUUGCGAAGGCAGCUUUCUGGAUCAUUACUGACACUGAGGAACGAAAGCAUGGGUAGCGAAGAGGAUUAGAUACCCUCGUAGUCCAUGCCGUAAACGAUGUGUGUUAGACGU
rnacentral:rRNA from 1 species